GCGGAAUCGUGGCAGAGCAAAAUCACCGACAGCCGUCGACCUCCCCUGUGAGGGCGGCCUCGCCUUCGUCGUCUAACGCCUCGGUUAGAAAGAAGAUAAAGCAGAAUGGAGGAGCCAAGUUUCGACCACC